rnacentral:rRNA from 1 species
UACGUAGGGGCCGAGCGUUGUCCGGAGUUAUUGGGCGUAAAGCGCGCGCAGGCGGCCUCGCGCGCCCGACGUGAAAGCCCCCGGCUUAACCGGGGAGGGUCGUUGGGGACGGCGGGGCUUGAGGGCGGGAGAGGGUGGUGGAAUUCCCGGUGUAGUGGUGAAAUGCGUAGAGAUCGGGAGGAACACCGAUGGCGAAGGCAGCCCCCUGGGUCAAGAUUGACGCUCAUGCACGAAAGCGUGGGGAGCAAACAGG